GGUGCAUGGUUGUCGUCAGCUCGUGUCGUGAGAUGUUGGGUUUAAGUCCCGCACGAGCGCAACCCUCGUCCUAUGUUGCCAGCGGGUCAUGCCGGGGACUCAUGGGAGACUGCCGGGGUCAACUCGGAGGAAGGUGGGAUGACGUCAAAUCAUCAUGCCCCUUAUGUCUUGGGCUUCACGCAUGCUACAAUGGCCGGUACAAAGGGCUGCGAUACCGCGAGGUGGAGCGAAUCCCAGAAAGCCGGUCUCAGUUCGGAUUGGGGUCUGCAACUCGACCCCAUGAAGUCGGAGUCGCUAGUAAUCGCAGAUCAGCAACGCUGCGGUGAAUACGUUCCCGGGCCUU
rnacentral:rRNA from 1 species